AGCAGCCGCGGUAAUUCCAGCUCCAAUAGCGUAUAUUAAAGUUGUUGCAGUUAAAAAGCUCGUAGUUGAAUUUCGAGAUCAAAUUGUUGGUCGUGCCUCGGUACGUACUGGCAUUAUUGAUUUCUCCCUUCUGAAGAACCACGAUGUCAUUAAUUUGGUGUCGUGGGGAAUCAGGACUGUUACUUUGAAAAAAUUAGAGUGUUUAAAGCAGGCUCACGCUUGAAUACAUUAGCAUGGAAUAAUGAAAUAGGACGUUUGAUUCUAUUUUGUUGGUUUCUAGGAUCGACGUAAUGAUUAAUAGGGAUAGUUGGGGGCAUUAGUAUUCAAUUGUCAGAAGUGAAAUUCUUGGAUUUAUUGAAGACUAACUACUGCGAAAGCAUUUGCCAAGGAUGUUUUCAUUAAUCAAGAACGAAAGUUAGGGGAUCGAAGACGAUCAGAUACCGUCGUAGU
rnacentral:rRNA from 1 species